UACGUAGGGUGCAAGCGUUAAUCGGAAUUACUGGGCGUAAAGCGUGCGCAGGCGGUUAUGUAAGACAGGUGUGAAAACCCCGGGCUUAACCUGGGAACUGCAUUUGUGACUGCAUAGCUAGAGUACGGUAGAGGGGGAUGGAAUUCCGCGUGUAGCAGUGAGAUGCGUAGAUAUGCGGAGGAACACCGAUGGCGAAGGCAAUCCCCUGGACCUGUACUGACGCUCAUGCACGAAAGCGUGGGGAGCAAACAGG
rnacentral:rRNA from 1 species